rnacentral:ribozyme from 1 species
GAAAGAACCGAAGGGAUGACCAAUCAAACAAGGCAAGCAGGGAAUCUUGACAAGGUUGAAAACUCAGGAACCACUGAAGACGGUCAAGGUGCUUCCAAAAAGAAGAAGAAGCAGAAGAGCAAGGUGAAGGAAGGAGAAGAUAGGAAAGCAGG